CACAGUUUAAUUGGUCCACAAAAAAAAGUGGUCAGUGCUAGGUGUGUGACAUAUAUUUUCCGACGUAUUUUUUACCGCUGAACACGUAUCUGAAGUCAAAAUUGGAGGUCAAACUGCAAAAAACGGA